rnacentral:rRNA from 1 species
UACGUAGGUGGCAAGCGUUAUCCGGAAUUACUGGGCGUAAAGCGCACGCAGGCGGCUGGACAAGUCUGACGUGAAAGCUCCUGGCUUAACUGGGAGAGGUCGUUGGAAACUGUCUAGCUUGAGGCAAUGAGAGGGGUGUGGAAUUCCCGGUGUAGUGGUGGAAUGCGUAGAUAUCGGGGGGAACACCAGUGGCGAAAGCGGCACCCUGGCAUUGGCCUGACGCUCAUGUGCGAAAGCGUGGGGAGCGAACGGG